rnacentral:rRNA from 1 species
CAGUAGCCACGGGAAUACGUAGGGUGCAAGCGUUGUCCGGAAUCAUUGGGCGUAAAGCGCGCGUAGGUGGCCACUUAAGUCCGCUGUGAAAGUCAAAGGCUCAACCUUUGAAAGCCGGUGGAUACUGGAUGGCUAGAGUACGGAAGAGGCGAGUGGAAUUCCUGGUGUAGCGGUGGAAUGCGCAGAUAUCAGGAGGAACACCAAUAGCGAAGGCAGCUCGCUGGGACGUUACUGACACUAAGGCGCGAAAGCGUGGGGAGCGAACAGGAUUAGAUACCCCUGUAGUCCCUGUCUCUUAUAC